CCCGCCCUACGGGAGGCAGCAGUCGAGAAUCAUUCACAAUGGGGGAAACCCUGAUGGUGCGACGCCGCGUGGGGGAAUGAAGGUCUUCGGAUUGUAAACCCCUGUCAUGUGGGAGCAAAUUAAAAAGAUAGUACCACAAGAGGAAGAGACGGCUAACUCUGUGCCAGCAGCCGCGGUAAUACAGGGGUCUCAAGCGUUGUUCGGAAUCACUGGGCGUAAAGCGUGCGUAGGCUGUUUCGUACGUCGUG
rnacentral:rRNA from 1 species